GUCCACGCCGUAAACGAUGGGUGCUAGGUGUCGCGGGCUUUGACUCCUGCGGUGCCGUAGCUAACGCAUUAAGCACCCCGCCUGGGGAGUACGGCCGCAAGGCUAAAACUCAAAGGAAUUGACGGGGGCCCCGCACAAGCGGUGGAGCAUGUGGUUUAAUUCGACGCAACGCGCAGAACCUUACCUGGGCUAGAAAUGCAGAGACCUGGUCGAAAGGUCGGGGUGCUCUUCGGAGAAUCUGUAGUUAGGUGCUGCAUGGCUGUCGU
rnacentral:rRNA from 1 species